AGAUUCUAAGGAAAUUGGUUUGUGUUCCUGAGUAAUGGGGGGGCACCACUGGCAGUCCAGCCCUUUCCCAUGGUUACACCUCUGCUGCAGCAGCAGCUAAAUCAGGAGAGAGAAGCACUGACUGAGCUAUUUCCAGAGCACGUUACAAAGGAAAAUGUUGCUGACUCCAUUUUACUCACAGCCAGUUCUGGAAGUAGAAGCGCUGGAGCACCACGCGAGAGGCUGUAUUCCACCCCAACCCAGCUGGCAGCAGGAACGACUGAAAAACCUCACAAAAAGGGCUGCU